rnacentral:lncRNA from 1 species
GGAGGUGGAUGUGAAUGUGGGUCGCGAAGGUCCGCAGACAUGGUGGAGGAGUUUUGGAGAAAAAAAAAAGAAAAAAAAAAAGAUCGCGGUGCAGUCUCGACGGGGUCAAAGGCAAGAAGGCAGGGGGUGAGCAGGUGCAGGCAAGGGUGCAUGGGGCGGAGGCGAGGAGGGCCGGUGGUGCAUGGAUACGGGUUAGGGUGCGAGGGGAGCAUAGGCGAGACGGGCAGCCCCCGCCUCUCUUUUCGGAGAGAGAGAAAAAAAAAACGAGAGAAAAAGAGAGAGAGAAAAUAAUAAGGGUAUUUUAGUCAAGUUUUUAAAAAUUCGGACUAAAUCUGCAAAAUUGAAAAAAGGCAGUUCAAUUUUACAAAAGUACAAAACUUGUAGAUUUUUUAUACAAAU